GAUCAGGUGAUGAGAACAAAAAACUGCAACAAUAUGAUUGGACUAGCUCCAUGAUUACUUGUAUUUAAGUCUCUGAUGAUU